rnacentral:lncRNA from 1 species
UCUAGAUCUUUUGCAUUUCCAUGUUAAUUUUAGAAUCAUCUAGUCAAUUUCUAUAUUGGAGUCCUAGUUAAUUCUUUCCACUAGGCUACCAUAUAGUAUUAAAAACACUACUCUUUCUCUUUUUUCAAUUUAAAAAUAGUAUAGAAAUGUUUCACAUUUACUACUGUUGGGGAAUGAGUUAUAAUAUUUCAUGAAUAAAGUU